AGCUUUGCGCAGUGGCAGUAUCGUAGCCAAUGAGGUUUAUCCAAGGCGCGAUUAUUGCUAAUUGAAAGAAAAAAGAUACUUUAAACUAUGUGAGGUGUGUUUGAGGGCCCAUAGCUGGUGUAUUAAAUUAAGAAUAUGUAGAUU